AACGAACGCUGGCGGCAGGCUUAACACAUGCAAGUCGAGCGCGUAGCAAUACGAGCGGCAGACGGGUGAGUAACGCGUGGGAAUCUACCGUAUCCUACGGAAUAGCUCUGGGAAACUGGAAGUAAUACCGUAUACGCCCUAACGGGGAAAGAUUUAUCGGGGUAUGAUGAGCCCGCGUUGGAUUAGCUAGUUGGUGGGGUAAAGGCCUACCAAGGCGACGAUCCAUAGCUGGUCUGAGAGGAUGAUCAGCCACAUUGGGACUGAGACACGGCCCAAACUCCUACGGGAGGCAGCAGUGGGGAAUAUUGGACAAUGGGCGCAAGCCUGAUCCAGCCAUGCCGCGUGAGUGAUGAAGGUCUUAGGAUUGUAAAGCUCUUUCACCGGAGAAGAUAAUGACGGUAUCCGGAGAAGAAGCCCCGGCUAACUUCGUGCCAGCAGCCGCAGUAACAC
rnacentral:rRNA from 1 species